rnacentral:rRNA from 1 species
GAUGAACGCUGGCGGCGUGCCUAAUACAUGCAAGUCGAGCGAACAGAUGAGGAGCUUGCUCCUCUGACGUUAGCGGCGGACGGGUGAGUAACACGUGGAUAACCUACCUAUAAGACUGGGAUAACUUCGGGAAACCGGAGCUAAUACCGGAUAAUAUAUUGAACCGCAUGGUUCAAUAGUGAAAGACGGUUUUGCUGUCACUUAUAGAUGGAUCCGCGCCGCAUUAGCUAGUUGGUAAGGUAACGGCUUACCAAGGCAACGAUGCGUAGCCGACCUGAGAGGGUGAUCGGGCACACUGGAACUGAGGCAGGGUCCAGACGCCUACGGGAGGCAGCAGUAGGGAAUCUUCCGCAAAGGGGGAAAGCCUGACGGAGCAACGCCGCGUGAGUGAUGAAGGUCUUCGGAUCGUAAAACUCUGUUAUUAGGGAAGAACAAAUGUGUAAGUAACUAGGCACGUCUUGACGGUACCUAAUCAGAAAGCCACGGCUAACUACGUG